rnacentral:rRNA from 1 species
CACUGGGUUUAAAGGGUGCGUAGGUGGGCAAGUAAGUCAGUGGUGAAAUCUCUGGGCUUAACCCGGAAACUGCCAUUGAUACUAUUUGUCUUGAAUUCUCUGGAGGUAAGCGGAAUAUGUCAUGUAGCGGUGAAAUGCUUAGAUAUGACAUAGAACACCCAUUGCGAAGGCAGCUUACUACGGAGACAUUGACACUGAGGCACGAAAGCGUGGGGAUCAAACAGGAUUAGAUACCCUGGUAGUCCACGCCCUAAACGAUGAUUACUCGACAUUAGCGAUAUUACUGUUAGUGUCUAAGCGAAAGCAUUAAGUAAUCCACCUGGGAAGUACGACCGCAAGGUUGAAACUCAAAGGAAUUGGCGGGGGUCCGCACAAGUGGUGGAGCAUGUGGUUUAAUUCGAUGAUACGCGAGGAACCUUACCUGGGCUAGAAUGCGUUUUGACCGCAAGUGAAAGCUUGUUUUGUAGCAAUACACUGCCAGUAAGGUGCUGCAUGGCUGUCGUCAGCUCGUGCCGUGAGGUGUAGGGUUAAGUCCCGCAACGAGCGCAACCCCUAUCUUUAGUUGCCAUCAGGUAAUGCUGGGAACUCUAAAGAAACUGCCGUCGUAAGACGUGAGGAAGGAGGGGAUGAUGUCAAGUCAUCAUGGCCUUUAUGCCCAGGGCUACACACGUGCUACAAUGGGAAGGACAAAGGGCUGCCACUUAGCGAUAAGGAGCUAAUCCCAAAAACCUUCUCUCAGUUCAGAUUGGAGUCUGCAACUCGACUCCAUGAAGCUGGAAUCACUAGUAAUCGUAU